AGUGAACGCUGGCGGUAGGCCUAACACAUGCAAGUCGAACGGCAGCACAGUAAGAGCUUGCUCUUACGGGUGGCGAGUGGCGGACGGGUGAGGAAUACAUCGGAAUCUACUUUUUCGUGGGGGAUAACGUAGGGAAACUUACGCUAGUACCGCAUACGACCUACGGGUGAAAGCAGGGGAUCUUCGGACCUUGCGCGAUUGAAUGAGCCGAUGUCGGAUUAGCUAGUUGGCGGGGUAAAGGCCCACCAAGGCGACGAUCCGUAGCUGGUCUGAGAGGAUGAUCAGCCACACUGGAACUGAGACACGGCCCAGACUCCUACGGGAGGCAGCAGUGGGGAAUAUUGGACAAUGGGCGCAAGCCUGAUCCAGCCAUACCGCGUGGGUGAAGAAGGCCUUCGGGUUGUAAAGCCCUUUUGUUGGGAAAGAAAAGCAGCAGGUUAAUACCCCGCUGUUCUGACGGUACCCAAAGAAUAAGCACCGGCUAACUUCGUG
rnacentral:rRNA from 1 species